CCCUACCUCGCGUCCUCUCUCUCUCUCUCUCUCUCUCUCUCUCUCUCUCUCUCGUCUCCCCAUUGCCGUUCUUGCGCGAUCUUUGAGCUUUGGGCUUUGUAACUCGGAUUUUCGAGAAUAAAUCUGGUUUGAUGUGGACGGGGAGAGGGGUUUUUGUGUUUUUAUCGAUAGAUCCGGGCCUUAGGUCCUAUUUUCUUUUCAUUUUUUUUGGCCUAGAUUUAGUUUUAUUAGAUUUGAGCCCUUUCUUGUUCGCCAGAUUGCUUUUUCUUCGCUAAUUUAACCGGAUCUAGGGUUUCGAUUAUGGAAUUCGAGCGAAGAAGAACGAAAUUUACUGCAGAUUUAUUUGAUUUCUUUUGGUGUCGGACGCUAUCUUUUGCUGUAAUCUUUUGUUUAUCAUUCGUUCAGAUUUACAUUUUGAUGAUGUUCUCGUUUUACUUAGUUUCUUUCUUCUUUCUCCCUGCUUCUAAAGAUUAUGAUGCUUAUCUUGGAUCGAGAUGGAGAUGCUGUAUUUGAAUCAAAACUUUGAUGAUUGCUAUUUGAAUCAAAAACUAUGAUAAUCAAAAUAAGAUGCGUCUAAUCACAUAAAAACCCUAAGCAAUCAAAGUUGUUAGAAUUAUUGCUCUACUGAUUUGGUUUGUUAACUCGUGAUCUGCGGGUUAGCCACUUUAAUUAUCAUCGUCUUAUUGUAAAAAGAUUUUAAUUUGAACCUGCAAGAUAUAUUUUGCCUUCUUGGAUUGGCAACAUGGUGUCAUCGAUGAAGUUAAAUUGACAGUGAGGCUUUCCACGAGCUUCAUGUAAUGAUUUAACCGCUGAAUAAUCUAUCUGUUGAGUUGUGUUAUGCGUGAAGCUUGAAUCGAAUACCUUUACUAUGAACCUGAGGCGUUCAAUUUAUCUGCUUGUUGUAUCCUUUUUGGUGGAAAUGAAAGCAGUUCUAGUUACUCAUGUCUAGAUGGCUUAAGUGAUGAUUUCAAUGGAAGGAACUAUCAAGGAGCUUGCCAUUGAUUUGUUUUCUGGUUCUUUUUCCUUAUAUAUAUUACAGGAGGCAUGUACCAUUCACAUCUCGUAGCUAUUACCAUCUGUAGGUGUAAGUUUUUGGCUACUAACCAUUUUGAUGGCAGCUUGUCUGUUAGAACCAUAGAUUCGAGUCGAUUGGCUCAUGCAUAGAUGAGCAAGGAAUUAUAAAUCAACCAUAUAUCUUGACUUGAAGAGCACCUUCUUUGGUUAGCUUUAGACUGAAGCCAUUGAUUUAUUUCAUCUUGGUAUUGCAGUAAAGGCUUGCUUACGUAUAUAUUUGUUCUGUCUAUGCACCUUUAUUCAUGGAACACCUGAAAGUUAGUCUUAGAUCAAGCCACUUUGAGAAUUAUGAGUUAUGUUUGAGCUCUGCAAACUAGCAUUGCUGAUGCUACUUCAUUCAUCCAAAAGGAUUCGCCUUUAACAUGUCCGGCUCUGUUAUGCGUUGCAGGAUUCAAACAUCUGUAAGUAGUGGCUUAGUAUGGGACACCCUCAAUAGCACAAGGAGUUGUGCUACAGAAAUUUUGGUUCAUCAACCAAAAACCGGAUAAAUUGUUGUCUUGAAUUUAAAGAAUUUGAGUAUGAUAAAGUUGAAUUAGAUGAGUGGGGCUCGAUAUGGUUAAAUGCAAGAGUUGAUGGCCAUUACUUUUAGUUGAAUCUUAAUGAGUAGCUAUACUAUAAUACACUUCUGCAGAUCAGGAGGAUCUCAUGCAUCUCUGAUUGUCAGUAAUGCUACAAAAACCUUAUAUAACUCGAAUGGCCUCGGGAAGACAUUAGAUUAUCCUUGUACAGGAAAUUCUAUCUAGAUUCUGUAUAAUUAUAGAUAGAUUAAACCCUCCAUCUAUUUUUUUUUUUUUUUUUGUUUGGAUGGCUGGGUAUGCUAUUCAUUUGGAUAAGGACGAGUUAUAGUUUGAAGGCAAUGAGGAGAGAAUAUUUGAAGGGAAGGGAAGCACCAGGAUUGAAACCAACCAGAGCCCAUAUUCCCUGAAGCUUUGGGAUUAUAUCUUUAUUUGAGAGGUGAUUUUCCUUUUGCAGGCUGCCUUGAAUUAAAGUUUCCCAUUACUGUUAAAACUUCAUCCCGCUUGCAUAAUUUCUCCUCAAGCUUCUAAACUUUUUUGGUUAUAUAAAGAUCGAAGCAUAUUUUAUCCCCAGAUAAAAGUGCUCUGGAUCCAAAUAAGGCGUUAGUUUUAUCGAUCUGCAUAUCAGAGACAGUGACAGGAUGUGUUAUUUUAAAGUUCUGGCAUUAACAGGCUUCACUAGUUUGACCAUGUCAAACUUUUUAGAAGUUAUGUGCUUCGACAUUUAUGAGGACACUAGUAUAUGUUGUCCUUGGGUUUUAGCUGAAAGCAGUAAUCAUUUACCAUAGAAUCUACUAUAUUGAGGGCAUAAAUAUGCGACAGAGGCUGGAUAAAUAUUGCUCCAUAGGCAUUGGAUGUGCUCCAAGAUUGACCUAUUGAGAUAUGACAGAACUUUUCUAUUAUAACAGUUAUUUAUUUAGUUGUGGAAAUGUUGGGCAAAGUCCAGCUGGCUUUCAUUCAGAUAAUGUGGUCUUUUAUUUUUUGAUCCUGUACCUUUUCUUUUCUUCAUUGUGGCAAACUCAUUUCUGUUAAAUGAGUGCUGGUCAGAUACUAUAAUAUAGGAUAAUUGAUUUUUCAGAGUGUUCCAUUGCAAGCCCAAAAAAAUGGCUUUUGACAGUUAUUGUCGUAUACAGCCACAUCACUGAUAAAAAAUAUGAGCAGUGAUAAAGUGCAAGUCUUAUAAAGUUGUUUUUAAAUAUAAAAAGAAAAAAAAUGGUAAGGUCGUGUGUUCUCAUAAAAAAAUUACAACCAAAUUCAGUUUAUUCAUGAUGUGCAAUCAUUUUUAUGUUGUCCAAAUUACAACUCAUUUCAUUAAUCAGUUUAUCAUAUUAUUUUCCUUUGGCCAAAUUAGAAAAUCAAUAUUAGAGGAAGCUAGGCCAGUGAUAGAACUUUGGAUAUUGUUAAGAUUUGGUUGUUGUUAUAUGACAUGGUUUGGUGUUAGUUUUUUUGCCAUGACUUCUCAAUGCCUUUUCUGUUUAAAAAAAAAAUUUUGCUUAGCUUUCUCUCUCCUUUUCUUAAAGUGACAUGCAACUUGCACGGGGAAAGAACCUCCUUCAUAUUUGUUUAUUCUAAAGUGUUUUUUUAUUUUAUAUUUAGGUUACAUGGUAGAGGAUCAGAAAUCAAGUAUCUAGCUUUCAUAUUUUUCUUAUCUUUUUUUCUCCCGCUAUAUAUAUCUUUUAUAUUUUUCUUUUAAAGAGGACUGCAACAUGUGGCCAGUCUGAUAUUUAACAGUGGCAUUUAUGCGAUGCAAAAAGCUUUCUACACUAUAUGUGAUUACAAAUUUUAUUGCACUACAUAACAAAAGCCUGAGAUUUGGGGGUAUUUUUCUUGUGCCACAAGUUGGUUUAUAGGGUUUGGGAGAGAUACAGCUGCAGCCUGCAUUGUGCGUGCGAGAGCUCGAAUAUGGUCCUACCACUUUUUACGCCUGUUUGGAGAUCCUUCGAGAGUUUCCAAAAACACAAAAUAAGUUAUAAGCGUUUUGCUUAGAUUAGAACUUACCUAAGUCGAUUAGGUGGAGAAGUCAAGACAAGAGUCGUUUCUCUUUAUUGAAAUGCGAAUCGGCCCGCUUGUAUGAAAUGGGAUUAGCUUUGAAUUUAGAAUUUUCAGAAGAUUCUUUCACUUUCUCAUUGGUAAAA